UCUUUCAGCAUGAUCGGACCGGACCGGAACCCCUGCUUUAGCCCUGACCAGGACGGACUUGGGCUCUUGGCUUUUGUUCUGUAAUAAUACUGUGUUGGACCAGGAUUAGGUUGAGGGGUGGCCAAAUUUUGUCUCACUUGCUCAACUGAUACAGCCUUGCUUGGCAAAAGAUUGGGUCCAUACAGUAUAUAAUCACUGUUCAACUUUCUGGCAUGGACAAAAAGAAAUUGUCCAAAUAUAAGACCGAGCCAGGUUUAG
rnacentral:lncRNA from 1 species